rnacentral:lncRNA from 1 species
CAGGAAGUCUUCCUACGAUGUUAGUAGCACUGCUGUAAUCCCAUUUCAGCUUUAGUGCUGGCAGCAAGAGCUGGGACAUCAGACUGGGCGUGGAGUUUCACCUGCCAAGCCCAUUUCCUGUGCCUCACCAGGGCUGUGCUGCUCUGCUCCAUCCCCAGCACAUUUAAUUGGCUCCCUGAGCCAUGGUGUCCUGCUCUCCUGCCUCUGAAGCCAGUCCAUCACCAUUGCCAGCUCCAAAAAGUGAGUAGCUGGGAGCAUGAGCCGUGUCUUGUCACUAAUACAUCCAUUUUGGCAACUGAGGAACUGCUUCUCUGUUAUCUGUUUAAUAAAUCAGGGGACUGGUUAUUGUGCAGGCUUGUAAUAAGAACUCAUCAAGCAGCCAAAAGAAACUCAGCUUUUGUGCAGGAUGUUUACUUUUAUCAGUAUAACCUCCUGACAGAAUCUCAUUCACCUUUGGCACCCCAGUGGCAAUUAAAUUUUUUAUCUUGGGUGGGGAAAAGGAAGCUUUCAGAGCCUGCCUAUUCAUUUGAUGGAUUUGUACAACCCGGGACAAUUUUGCAAUGCAGAGAAAACUACAGACCCUACUUCAGCAUCCUUCUUUGCAUAACUCUAUACAGAUAUUUAAUGUCUCUCUCAGAACUCAGGAUGUCUUUAUGUGACAGCUUAAUGCUCAUCAAUAGUCCAGCAGUACAAACUCUUCCACCUCUAGACAAGUAGACAGUGCUUGUGAAGGGUGGGCAGGAGAUUGUACAUGGGUACAAUUUGACCUAAAAAUAAUAAGGGCAAACCACACAGCUCGUGGACUCCUGAGUGUCAAGAAUUGUAAUUAGUAACAGAUUUGCUAUGCAAACACCUAUGAGGUACCAAAUGGGUGUCUGUUGGGUAUCAGACUGGGAUUGCCUGGUUCAUUUUGGACACUCAUUUUACAAAUACCUUACAGAACUACAGUCUCUUUGUCCCAUAAAAAAAUAAUAGGUUAAAUGCCCUAUUAAUCAGCCCUUGGCUGUUCAUCUUCAGUAUGUUGCUCCUUCCAAUCACACUACAUGACUGGGCCCCAAAGCAAGGAUGUAUCUAGUAAGAAAAGUUUUUCAUCCUUCUUGUAACCCCGACUCAUUUAUUAAAAUGAAUUUCGGGCUGAGUGCACAAUGACGUAUUUCUAGUUUAAGAAUGUUUUUAAUCAAAACUACUUAAGGUAUUUGAAGGUUGUUUUUUUAUUUUGUAAAU